UCGAGAAUCUUCCGCAAUGGGCGAAAGCCUGACGGAGCGACGCCGCGUGCGGGAUGAAGGCCUUCGGGUUGUAAACCGCUGUCGUAGGGGAGCAAAUUUUGAGCGAUCCUAGGAGGAAGCGCAGGCUAAGUUCGUGCCAGCAGCCGCGGUAAGACGAACUGCGCGAACGUUAUUCGGAAUCACUGGGCUUAAAGGGUGCGUAGGCGGCCGCGUAGGUGGGGUGUGAAAUCCCUCGGCUCAACCGAGGAACUGCGCUCCAAACCCCGCGGCUUGAGGAAGACAGAGGUGAGCGGAACUCACGGUGGAGCGGUGAAAUGCGUUGAUAUCGUGAGGAACACCGGUGGCGAAAGCGGCUCACUGGGUCUUUUCUGACGCUGAGGCACGAAAGCUAGGGGAGCGAACGGGAUUAGAUACCCCCGUAGUCC
rnacentral:rRNA from 1 species